rnacentral:lncRNA from 1 species
GAGACCACUUGCCUCAAUGUCCUCCUGCCACCACUAAGGUUGCUUCACAAUUGCUUUCUGGGCUACUGUGACAGCGGGCACAUCUCAGCAGCAGUGGCAGCCCUCCUAGUCUCCUCCUCCUACACCUGCACCUUGGUGACUCAUAAUUUCCAUCUGAAUUAAGCAAAAGAACCUGCAACUGACUGGCAACACCGGACUGUCCCAGGACGUAACUGGGCUGUGGAAUACUGGACCUCUCAUCCCGGUGAAAGGCGAAUGUACAUACACUGCUGCCAUCAGCCCCGGCAGCCUCCUGCCUUCACGCCGCUCUGGUGCUGCUCAGACCCGUACUUCUCAGCCUCUGUACCUCGAGGUGAAUGUUCCCAAGAACAUUUUUGGGCUUCACCUUGGUCGUGGCACUGAGAGAAUUGCUGACAUCUGCGAGGCUAUGAGGGGUCUGCUCUCAUCCUACAGAGUGUGCUACUUUUCCCACACUUGGUCAGCUGCGCAUGCUUCUUUUCCUACACUUGGUCAGCUGCGCAUGCUUCUUUUCCUACACUUGGUCAGCUGCGCAUGCUUCUUUUCCUACACUUGGUCAGCUGCGCAUGCUUCUUUUCCUACGUGUAAUAAAUGUGAAACCUCACUACCUUUUGCACUUGUUUUGUCCAAUUCUUUGUUCAAGACAA